CUGUGCAAAGGUAGCAUAAUCAUUAGCUUUUUAAUUGAAGGCUUGUAUGAAGGGUCUGACAAAGAAAAAGCUGUCUUUAAUUUUAUUUUUGAAUUUAACUUUUAAGUGAAAAGGCUUAAAUAAAUUUAAGGGACGAUAAGACCCUAUAAAUCUUUAUAUUAUAUUAUUAUCUUGAAUUUUAAUAAUUUGUCUAGAUUAAUAAGUAAAAUAAUAAAUAUUUUGUUGGGGUGACAAGAAUAUAAAAAAACUGUUCUUAAAUAAAACAAAGUUAUUUGUUUAAAAAUUUAUAGAUCCUUUUUAAAGAUUAAGAGAUUAAGUUACUUUAGGGAUAACAGCGUUAUUUUUUUUUGAGAGUUCUUAUCGAAAAAAAAGUUUGCGACCUCGAUGUUGAAUUAAAAAUUCUCUACGGUGAAGAAGUUGUAGGAGAAAGUCUGUUCGACUUUUGAAAUUUU
rnacentral:rRNA from 1 species